rnacentral:rRNA from 1 species
UGCAAGUCGAGCGAAUGGAUUAAGAGCUUGCUCUUAUGAAGUUAGCGGCGGACGGGUGAGUAACACGUGGGUAACCUGCCCAUAAGACUGGGAUAACUCCGGGAAACCGGGGCUAAUACCGGAUAACAUUUUGAACCGCAUGGUUCGAAAUUGAAAGGCGGCUUCGGCUGUCACUUAUGGAUGGACCCGCGUCGCAUUAGCUAGUUGGUGAGGUAACGGCUCACCAAGGCAACGAUGCGUAGCCGACCUGAGAGGGUGAUCGGCCACACUGGGACUGAGACACGGCCCAGACUCCUACGGGAGGCAGCAGUAGGGAAUCUUCCGCAAUGGACGAAAGUCUGACGGAGCAACGCCGCGUGAGUGAUGAAGGCUUUCGGGUCGUAAAACUCUGUUGUUAGGGAAGAACAAGUGCUAGUUGAAUAAGCUGGCACCUUGACGGUACCUAACCAGAAAGCCACGGCUAACUACGUGCCAGCAGCCGCGGUAAUACGUAGGUGGCAAGCGUUAUCCGGAAUUAUUGGGCGUAAAGCGCGCGCAGGUGGUUUCUUAAGUCUGAUGUGAAAGCCCACGGCUCAACCGUGGAGGGUCAUUGGAAACUGGGAGACUUGAGUGCAGAAGAGGAAAGUGGAAUUCCAUGUGUAGCGGUGAAAUGCGUAGAGAUAUGGAGGAACACCAGUGG